rfam:Triticum aestivum genome assembly, contig: Triticum_aestivum_CS42_TGACv1_scaffold_290462_4AL
UAAAUACUCCCUCCGUCCCAAAAUUCUUGUCUUAGAUUUGUCUAGAUGCGGAUGUAUCUAAUACUAAAACAUGACUUGAUACAUCCGUAUCUAGACAAAUCUAAGACAAGAAUUUUGGGACGGAGGGAGUAUAAG